rnacentral:rRNA from 1 species
UGGUGGGUAGUUUGACUGGGGCGGUCUCCUCCUAAAGAGUAACGGAGGAGCACGAAGGUUGGCUAAUCCUGGUCGGACAUCAGGAGGUUAGUGCAAUGGCAUAAGCCAGCUUGACUGCGAGCGUGACGGCGCGAGCAGGUGCGAAAGCAGGUCAUAGUGAUCCGGUGGUUCUGAAUGGAAGGGCCAUCGCUCAACGGAUAAAAGGUACUCCGGGGAUAACAGGCUGAUACCGCCCAAGAGUUCAUAUCGACGGCGGUGUUUGGCACCUCGAUGUCGGCUCAUCACAUCCUGGGGCUGAAGUAGGUCCCAAGGGUAUGGCUGUUCGCCAUUUAAAGUGGUACGCGAGCUGGGUUUAGAACGUCGUGAGACAGUUCGGUCCCUAUCUGCCGUGGGCGCUGGAGAACUGAGGGGGGCUGCUCCUAGUACGAGAGGACCGGAGUGGACGCAUCACUGGUGUUCGGGUUGUCAUGCCAAUGGCACUGCCCGGUAGCUAAAUGCGGAAGAGAUAAGUGCUGAAAGCAUCUAAGCACGAAACUUGCCCCGAGAUGAGUUCUCCCUGACUCCUUGAGAGUCCUGAAGGAACGUUGAAGACGACGACGUUGAUAGGCCGGGUGUGUAAGCGCAGCGAUGCGUUGAGCUAACCGGUACUAAUGAACCGUGAGGCUUAACCUUACA